rnacentral:rRNA from 1 species
UGGGGAAUCUUGCACAAUGGGGGCAACCCUGAUGCAGCGACGCCGCGUGAGCGAUGAAGGUUUUCGAAUCGUAAAGCUCUGUCCUAUGGGAAGAUAAUGACGGUACCAUAGGAGGAAGCCCCGGCUAACUACGUGCCAGCAGCCGCGGUAAUACGUAGGGGGCGAGCGUUGUCCGGAAUUACUGGGCGUAAAGGGUUCGCAGGCGGCAUGGCAAGUCCGAUGUAAAAGGCGAAGGCUCAACCUUCGUAAGCAUCGGAAAAUGUCAAGGUUGAGUGAAGGAGAGGCAAGGGGAAUUCCUAGUGUAGCGGUGGAAUGCGUAGAUAUUAGGAGGAAUACCGGGGGCGAAGGCGACGUGCGGGACUUCAACUGACGCGGAGGAACGAAAGAGUGGGGAGAAAACAGG